CUUUAUUCCCCUGGUAUGUGUAUCCACCAGUAGAACCCUUCGUUGCCCGAAUGCUGGCAGGAACUGUUGGCAGAACGGCAACAUUUUUUUU
rnacentral:ncRNA from 2 species